CCCUGGUGGCGCAGAUGGUAAAGUAUCUGCCUGCAGUGCAGGAGGUCCAGGUUCGAUCCCUGGAUCGGGAC
rnacentral:tRNA from 1 species